rnacentral:tRNA from 1 species
GCGGGCAUAGUCUAGCCUGGUAGGACGCAAGCUUCCCAAGUUUGCAACCCGGGUUCAAAUCCCGGUACCCGCA